GUGGAUGGAUGAGUCUCACUUGCUGCAUAAAGUGGAGCAACAGCAGCAGAGUAAGGAUCAACCCAACAUACAGCCCUUUAGGAUUGUAUGGAUUACAGAUGGAAAAUCCGCUGGGAGCAAUUGACUACCCACGUUUCUGCUGUAUAACAUGCCAUCAGAUGGCCGUGCCCAACUCCAGCUAAAAACAUUGUUUAUGCUUGAUGUCAUUUUGAAUUUAGUGGCAUGGUUAAGGUGGAGCUAAAGAUCUCCCACCACCAGCCAUAAGAGGGUCAUGCACUUGUGUUGUCUGCUGUCCAUCUUUUUUGACACUCUUCUGGUCUUAGGGUGACCAGAUGUCCCACUUUGUUCCGAAAAUUGGGCUUCAGUAAACUGAAGCCUGACUAUAACAAUAACAACACUGGAAACCAUCUCAAUUUCUGGAACAAAGUGGGACAUUUGGUCGCCCUAUGUGGUCCAGAGGCUGAAGUGGGACACAGCAGGAGCACAUGAUGUUAGUAGAGUUGAAUACACACAUACAUUCCUCUCCAAAAUACUGGAACAUCAGUACCACAAGAUGUGCUAGUUCACUGAAGAUGUUUGGGUUUGAAACAAUGAGACCAGCUA